rnacentral:rRNA from 1 species
CAUGCAGGCGGUCGGACGCGUUUCCAGUGACAGCGGGUGGCUUACCUACCCGAGUAUUGGAAAGACGGUUUGACUUGAGGACUCGAGAGGGACACGGAAUUCCGGGUGGAGUGGUGAAAUGCGUAGAGAUCCGGAGGAACAUCGAAGGCGAAGGCAGUGUCCUGGCGAGUGACUGACGCUGAGGUGCGAAAGCUAGGGGAGCGAACGGGAUUAGAUACCCCGGUAGUCCUAGCCGUAAACGAUGACCACCAGGUGUGGGAGGUAUCGACCCCUUCUGUGCCGGAGGAAACCCACUAAGUGGUCCGCCUGGGGAGUACGGUCGCAAGAUUAAA